rnacentral:rRNA from 1 species
CAGCACCUCAAGUGGUCAGGAUGAUUAUUGGGCCUAAAGCAUCCGUAGCCGGCUCUGUAAGUUUUCGGUUAAAUCCGUAUGCUCAACAUACAGGCUGCCGGGAAUACUGCAGAGCUAGGGAGUGGGAGAGGUAGACGGUACUCGGUAGGAAGGGGUAAAAUCCUUUGAUCUAUUGAUGACCACCUGUGGCGAAGGCGGUCUACCAGAACACGUCCGACGGUGAGGGAUGAAAGCUGGGGGAGCAAACCGGAUUAGAGACCCGAGUAGUCC